rnacentral:lncRNA from 1 species
CUUCCAGUGGUGUUGGUGAUGGGGUAGGAACAGGCGAAGGUGAUUCUGUCACCUGCUCCAGAGUGCUGCGCUUCUUUCCCUCCUUGGACUUGGCAAUGACCAUUUGGGCUUUAAGAGCAUCCUGCUCAAGGGAUUUCAUCCGUGCUGCCCUCCACAUUGCUCGCUUCUCUGCCUCCAGGGCACGCCGUUCUGCUGGAGAAAGUUCCUUCUCUUGGCUGCUCAGCAGCUCAGGGCUCUGCAUUCGCAACCUCUCCUGGUGCCGCCGCUCCGCUUUGGCUGUCCGCACCGGGGCCAACGCAUCCCCU